GGGGCGAGUGAAACAGCAACUCGUCAAAGAAAAUGUUCCGGUUUUCGCCGUUUUGGUGGCCUGUACAAGUUCUCUUUUUACUAUUGCCGCCGGGACACACAGAGUUCGUAAAACAGGAUUCCAACAACAUAUCCCAAAUGAGGAUCAGUGUUCCAAUGAUAAUAUUUUCCAAAGUUGGUCAUGGUCGUCCAGACGAAAUUCACCCCCAAAUCUUGCCAACUUACUCUAAUUGAUUGCCAUCGACGAAGUACCUUAUAUGAGCGAAAUGAGCCACGUUGUUGGUCCCGGCUACCAUGGGCUAGAAAUUGUGCGAGUGGUUUGUACCAAAUUUCCAGUUUGGUUGUCAGAGCUACUGUUAUACCACACAUUCGGGAAAGUAUUGGGUCCAAUGUCCAAUUUGAGGCUGCGGAACCAUCAGAUCUUAUGAACCAAGCCCAAUUUAAAACAUCGUUUGACAAACUGGAACCCGUAACUGCAAAAAUUAAGGGAAUUUGUUAUUCUAGAUGACAAACUUUCGGUACUACUACCGGAGCUUCAAACGUCCAGUGAAAAAUGUGAUUGAUGUGACCCCAACG